UACGUAGGGGGCAAGCGUUGUCCGGAAUCAUUGGGCGUAAAGAGCGUGUAGGCGGCUUGGCAAGUCUCGCGUGAAAUCCUGCGGCUCAACCUCAGGCGGUCGCGGGAAACUGCCUCGCUAGAGUCCGGAAGAGGAGAGUGGAAUUCCUGGUGUAGCGGUGGAAUGCGCAGAUAUCAGGAAGAACACCCGUGGCGAAGGCGGCUCUCUGGGACGGUACUGACGCUGAGACGCGAAAGCGUGGGGAGCGAACAGG
rnacentral:rRNA from 1 species